GGAUGUCCCCGAGUGUGGGCGGGGCGACUCCAGGAUGCCUAGACCUCUUGGUCGGCAGAGCCUGAGGUCCAAAAGCUGCUGAAAAGGACCAGAGAUUCAUCUGUUCAUACUACAUCAUGGUCAAGACCUCCAAAGUGCCUCAGACCUUGCGUUUACAAGGAUGUCUUCCCAGGCACUGAUGACUCGGAGGAAGAGAAGCGCCACAUGCAGCACCUCCCUGGAAGAGAGCAGAGCCAUAGGCAUUAAACAUCCUGAAGGAAAACUGUACCCAGGCAGGAGAUAUAUGAGUUCCCCUCUGUGACAACCAGCAAGAAAAGAGAAAGAAGCAGGAGAAGACUUAAAUAGAUGCCUCCAACAAAAUGCUCCUCACAACACCUGGGUCUCAGUCAGACUGCAGAUAUGUGGAGUGUUAAAUUCUGAAUGGUGCAGUUAACCCAUUUCUACUGAUGAUGCUAAAAAGUUGAUUAAGAUGCCACCAGUUUGUUUGAUUGAUUUAUACACAAAGCAAGUCCACCCACCCCUGCCAUCUCUACUCAUCUAAGUCCAUCCAUGGCCUGGCCCAUAGGACCAUCUCUUAUCUCCAUCUCCCCCUCGCCACACACACACACACACACAAACUUUAAGUACACUGAUGAAUUCUUUAGGGUACAACCUAGUUCAUGUUCAUAUUUGCAUGCCCAGCACAGGGCCUACCCCAUAACAGGACUUCAAUAAAUCUUUUUUGAAAAUUGAGUGUCAAAAACAAAGACACUGAAAUAGAGCACAAGGGAUAGUGACCAGAGGGGAGAAGGAAGGGAAGUUAAGGGGAAAAUGGGGGAGGGAUUUGGAGGAACAAAUAGGAAGGA